UUCUGGCAUCGAUGAAGAACGCAGCGAAAUGCGAUAAGUAAUGUGAAUUGCAGAAUUCAGUGAAUCAUCGAAUCUUUGAACGCACAUUGCGCCCGCCAGUAUUCUGGCGGGCAUGCCUGUCUGAGCGUCAUUUCAACCCUCAGCCCCCGCUCGCGGGGCGCUGGCGUU
rnacentral:rRNA from 1 species